rnacentral:rRNA from 1 species
GAUGAACGCUGGCGGCGUGCCUAAUACAUGCAAGUCGAGCGAACAGACGAGGAGCUUGCUCCUCUGACGUUAGCGGCGGACGGGUGAGUAACACGUGGAUAACCUACCUAUAAGACUGGGAUAACUUCGGGAAACCGGAGCUAAUACCGGAUAAUAUAUUGAACCGCAUGGUUCAAUAGUGAAAGACGGUUUUGCUGUCACUUAUAGAUGGAUCCGCGCCGCAUUAGCUAGUUGGUAAGGUUACGGCUUACCAAGGCAACGAUGCGUAGCCGACCUGAGAGGGUGAUCGGCCACACUGGAACUGAGACACGGUCCAGACUCCUACGGGAGGCAGCAGUAGGGAAUCUUCCGCAAUGGGCGAAAGCUUGACGGAGCAACGCCGCGUGAGUGAUGAAGGUCUUCGGAUCGUAAAACUCUGUUAUUAGGGAAGAACAAAUGUGUAAGUAACUAUGCACGUCUUGACGGUACCUAAUCAGAAAGCCACGGCUAACUACGUG